rnacentral:rRNA from 1 species
CCUACGGGGGGCAGCAGUGGGGAAUAUUGCACAAUGGGGGAAACCCUGAUGCAGCGACGCCGCGUGAGUGAAGAAGUAUUUCGGUACGUAAAGCUCUAUCAGCAGGGAAGAAAAUGACGGUACCUGACUAAGAAGCCCCGGCUAACUACGUGACAGCAGCCGCGGUAAUACGUAGGGGGCAAGCGUUAUCCGGAUUUACUGGGUGUAAAGGGAGCGUAGGCGGCAGCGCAAGUCUGGAGUGAAAUCCCAUGGCUUAACCAUGGAACUGCUUUGGAAACUGUGCAGCUAGAGUGCAGGAGAGGUAAGCGGAAUGCCUAGUGUAGCGGUGAAAUGCGUAGAUAUUAGGAAGAACACCAGUGGCGAAGGCGGCUUACUGGACUGUAACUGACGUUGAGGCUCGAAAGCGUGGGGAGCAAACAGGAUUAGAUACCCCUGUAGUC